GACGAACGCUGGCGGCGUGCUUAACACAUGCAAGUCGAACGGAAAGGCCCUGCUUUUGUGGGGUGCUCGAGUGGCGAACGGGUGAGUAACACGUGAGUAACCUGCCCUUGACUUUGGGAUAACUUCAGGAAACUGGGGCUAAUACCGGAUAGGAGCUCCUGCUGCAUGGUGGGGGUUGGAAAGUUUCGGCGGUUGGGGAUGGACUCGCGGCUUAUCAGCUUGUUGGUGGGGUAGUGGCUUACCAAGGCUUUGACGGGUAGCCGGCCUGAGAGGGUGACCGGCCACAUUGGGACUGAGAUACGGCCCAGACUCCUACGGGAGGCAGCAGUGGGGAAUAUUGCACAAUGGGCGGAAGCCUGAUGCAGCAACGCCGCGUGCGGUAUGACGUCCUUCGGGUUGUAAACCGCUUUCGCCUGUGACGAAGCGUGAGUGACGGUAAUGGGUAAAGAAGCACCGGCUAACUACGUG
rnacentral:rRNA from 1 species